rnacentral:rRNA from 1 species
UGAAGCCGGAAUUGCUAGUAAUGGCAGGUCAGCAUACUGCCGUGAAUACGUUCCCGGGCCUUGUACACACCGCCCGUCACACCAUGAGAGUUGGAGAUACCCGAAGCCUGUGAGCUAACAAACGAGGCAGCAGUCGAAGGUAGAAUCAAUGAUUGGGGUGAAGUCGUAACAAGGUACC